rfam:Aneurinibacillus sp. XH2, complete genome.
UAACCUCAUUCGCGAGAAUGAGUUGAACAGACAGAAGUCAGCAGAGGUCAUAGUACAUGCCAUGUGACGACAUGACAUGGAAGGGC